rnacentral:rRNA from 1 species
CACGUAGGCGGAUUGUUAAGUUAGGGUGAAAUCCCAGGGCUCAACCCUGGAACUGCCUCUAAUACUGGCAAUCUCGAGUCCGAGAGAGGUGAGUGGAAUUCCGAGUGUAGAGGUGAAAUUCGUAGAUAUUCGGAGGAACACCAGUGGCGAAGGCGGCUCACUGGCUCGGUACUGACGCUGAGGUGCGAAAGCGUGGGGAGCAAACA